GCGAAAGCGAGUCUUAAUAGGGCGGAUGAGUACGUAGCAUUAGACCCGAAGGCAAGUGAUCUAGAUAUGGGCAGGCUGAAGGUGCAGUAACAUGCACUGGAGGGCCGAACCGUUGAGCGUUGAAAAGCUCUCGGAUGACCUGUGUCUAGGGGUGAAAGGCCAAUCAAACUUGCUGAUAGCUGGUUCUCCGCGAAAUCUAUUUAGGUAGAGCGUCACGAUUAGACUCUGGGGGGUAGAGCACUGAAUGGGCUAGGGGUCCUCACCGGAUUACCAAACCUUCUCAAACUCCGAAUACCCAGAAGUUAUGCGUGGCAGACACACGGCGGGUGCUAACGU
rnacentral:rRNA from 1 species